rnacentral:SRP_RNA from 13 species
ACCUCGUCGGGCACGGGCGGCAGCCGCUGGAAGCGAAGCACCCGCUCGGCCGUGAGGAAGACCUUGUUGAGCAUCUCG